rnacentral:rRNA from 1 species
AACGAACGCUGGCGGCAUGCCUAACACAUGCAAGUCGAACGGAACCUUCGGGCCUUUUGGGGCAGGUCGAGUUGCGAACGGGUAAGUUACCCUUGGGUUAGCAAUACCUCCCCGAAGGGGAUCUUCAUACAGGUUAAGGUCUUCGCGCAAAGGAUUUAUCGCCUUUGGAUGGGCGCGCGUUGGUUUCGCUGGUUGGUAGGGUAAAAGCCGACCAUGGGGACGAUGCUUAGCUGGUCUGAUAGGAUGAUCAGCAACACUGGGACUGAGACACGGCCCAGACUCCUACGGGAGGCAGCAGUGUGGAAUAUUGGACAAUGGGCGAAAGCCUGAUCCAGCAAUGCCGCGUGAGUGAUGAAGGCCUUAGUGUUGUAAAGCUCUUUUACCCGGGAUGAUAAUGACAGUACCGGGAGAAUAAGCACCGGCUAACUCCGUG